rnacentral:rRNA from 1 species
CCAAUAGCGUAUAUUAAAGUUGUUGCAGUUAAAAAGCUCGUAGUUGAAUUUCGGAAUUUGUCGGUUGGUCGGGCUUCACUGUCCGCACUGGCCUGAUAGAUUCCUACCUUCUGAAUAACCAGCAUGCUAUUAAUUUAGUGCGUUGGGGAAGCAGAGCUAUUACCUUGAAAAAAUUAGAGUGCUUAAAGCAGGCUCACGCUUGAAUAGAUUAGCAUGGAAUAAUAAAAUAGGACGGCUUGGUUCUAUUUUGUUGGUUUCUAGGAUCACCGUAAUGAUUAAUAGGGAUAGUUGGGGGCAUUAGUAUUCAAUUGUCAGAGGUGAAAUUCUUGGAUUUAUUGAAGACUAACUUCUGCGAAAGCAUUUGCCAAGGAUGUUUUCAUUAAUCAAGAACGAAAGUUAGGGGAUCGAAGACGAUCAGAUACCGUCGUAGUCUUAACCAUAAACUAUGCCGACUAGGGAUCGGACGAUGUUAAUUUUUUAAUGACUCGUUCGGCGCCUUACG